rnacentral:lncRNA from 1 species
UGACUCAGUUAUGAAGAAUUGGGAAAACUGCCUUAUUGUGGUUUCCUUUGUUGAUGGCAGAUUCAGAAGACAUAUGUGAUCAUGUGAAUGUGGCUAGCAGAAGAGAGGUGGCUCUAGUGCAUGUUGCAUUCUGGAUUUGUUUUGUGCCUGCGAGGAGUUGAAUUCCUGAGCACUGGAGAAGAUCUAACCAUAUUGGCACUGGCUCUGCUCAUGACAGUACAGUGGUACCAACCUUGUGAGAAUAUCCUGAGUGUGCCAGAAGGAGAGCAUAUUGCACAGGAGGGAAACCUGUCUACAAAUUGCUACGAACUGAAAGGGUCUCUACAUUCCUGA